UUGGUUUGGCCGAAAAGUUCGUCCGGGUUUUCCAUAUUACAGAAGAACCCGAUGAACUUUUGGGUCAACCCAAU
rnacentral:miRNA from 1 species